UACAGAGGUCCCGAGCGUUGUUCGGAUUCACUGGGCGUAAAGGGUGCGUAGGUGGUGAGGUAAGUCGGAUGUGAAAUCUCCAAGCUCAACUUGGAAACUGCAUUGGAAACUACCUUGCUAGAGGAUUUGAGGGGGGAUUGGAAUACUUGGUGUAGCAGUGAAAUGCGCAGAUAUCAGGAGGAACACCGGUGGCGAAGGCGGCACUCUGGGCCGGAACUGACGCUGAGGAGCGAAAGCGUGGGGAGCGAACAGG
rnacentral:rRNA from 1 species